rnacentral:misc_RNA from 1 species
GAUGAAGAACGUAGCGAAAUGCGAUAAGUAAUGUGAAUUGCAGAAUUCAGUGAAUCAUCGAAUCUUUGAACGCACAUUGCGCCCUCUGGUAUUCCGGGGGGCAUGCCUGUUCGAGCGUCAUUAUAACCACUCAAGCUCUCGCUUGGUAUUGGAGUUCGCGAUCUCGCGGCUCCUAAAAUCAGUGGCGGUGCCUGUCGGCUCUACGCGUAGUAAUACUCCUCGCGAUUGAGUCCGGUAGGUUUACUUGCCAGCAACCCCCAAUUUUUACAGGUUGACCUCGGAUCAGGUAGGGAUACCCGCUGAACUUAAGCAUAUCAAUAAGCGGAG